CCGCGCCCUCACCCCGGCCCUGCCCCCUCCCGGCCCGCCCCCCGGAGCCGGUCAGCCGAGAGGACCCCGGGGCGGAGGGCGGGGACCCGCGGGCGGGGGCCGGCUCCUGUUGCUUCCGCUCCCCGCAGCGGGGGCCUGGGUGGUGGGGACUGUGCGCCCGGAGCUGGGUCUGGCCGGAAGAGUCAAUCUCCCCCCAAGGCCGGAGGGCGGGUGUGAGAUCGGGGCAGUAGAGGAAGGGGCUUGGGGCGGGAAUGAGGGGUCGGGUCGGGCAGAAGACUAGCUAAACCGGGCCUUUGUCUCCGGGGUGCUCGCUGUUCCCCUGCGUGGCCCCUCCUGCCUGGCAGGUGAGGCGGGGCCAGCCCGUGGGGCUCCCCAGACUGUCGCAGCUCCUCAGCGUUGGAGCGAAGGCGGCUGAUAGAAUGCCAAGUCUAAACCUAUGAAACAGACCAGUUAAGACUACACUAAAGUAACAGUUCCAGAAAUGACCCAUUUCUGGGCCAGCAGAACAGGAGGUGGAAAGAUGGCAGAGCUUCUGCCGGGUGACAGCUCACGGGAAGGGGAGAGUCCUGGGCUCUGAGAGACGCUGGGGCAGCGGUGUUUUCUCUGCCUGCUUGUGGAGAUUAAGAAAGUGAGCCCAUGUGCAGAGCUCUUCAGCCGGAACUCAAGUGCCCUGCGCACACCCUGCUGCAGUCGGAACCAGACGUGACUUCAGGCUUCGGAGAUAAAAAUAAAUUCUCUUUGCCCCCCACCUGGUAAAAUUAGAAACUUAAUUAAAAUGUCAUCAGGUGCAGCCACAAAUUCCAUGUACCCGGUUUGAAAUGUUAUUAAUAAUAAUGUUCGCACUU
ensembl:lncRNA